AGCGUUGCUCGGAAUUACUGGGCGUAAAGCGCACGUAGGCGGAUUGCUAAGUCAGGGGUGAAAUCCUGGAGCUCAACUCCAGAACUGCCCUUGAUACUGGCGACCUCGAGUCCGGGAGAGGUGAGUGGAACUGCGAGUGUAG
rnacentral:rRNA from 1 species